AUCACCUCUGAUGGUUUGGGGGGGGGUCUCACUGCCUCCCAGCACCCCAGGAUCCCCCCGUUGGCCCCCGGGCUGGUUUUGGGGUGCUGUGUGUCCCUGGGGGGGCUGGCAGUGACCCCCGCCGCCCCCAGGUACCGUUACACCCUGGACGAGCUCCCGGCCAUGCUGCACAAGCUCAAGGUGCGCGCGGAGUCCUUCGACACCUGGGCCAACAAGGUGCGCGUCGCCCUGGAGGUGGAGGACGGCCGCAAGCGCACGCUGGAGGAGCUGCGGGCGCUGGAGUCGGAGGCGCGGGAGCGCAAGUUCCCCGAGAACGAGCUGCUGCACCGCCUCAAGGGCUGCCUGGGCCAGGCCGAGCGCUGCGUGUCCGAGGCCCUGGGGCUCAUCAGCUCCCAGGAGACCGGGUGAGUGUCCCUGGGGUGUCCCCGGGGUGUCCCUGGGGUGUCCCCGGGGUGUCCCCGGGGUGUCCCCGGGGUGUCCCUGGGGUGUCCCCAGUGUGUCCCCGGGGUGUCCCUGGGGUGUCCCCGGGGUGUCCCUGGGGUGUCCCCGGGGUGUCCCUGGGGUGUCCCCGGGGUGUCCCUGGGGUGUCCCUGGGGUGUCCCCGGGGUGUCCCUGGGGUGUCCCUGGGGUGUCCCCGGGGUGUCCCUGGGGUGUCCCCAGAGUGUCCCCAGAGUGUCCCCGGGGUGUGCCUGGGGUGUCCCUGGGGUGUCCCUGGGGUGUGCCUGGGGUGUCCCCGGGGUGUCCCCGGGGUGUCCCUGGGGUGUCCCUGGGGUGUCCCUGGGGUGUCCCCGGGGUGUCCCCAGAGUGUCCCCGGGGUGUCCCCGGGGUGUUCCCAGGGUAUCCCCACAGGGUCCCCAGGGUGUCCCCAGGGUGUCCCCUCGCUGUCCCCGCAGGGUGUCCCCAUGGUGUCCCCGGGGUGUUCCCAGGGUGUCCCCAGGGUAUCCCCACAGGGUCCCCAGAGUGUCCCCAGGGUGUCCCCGGGGUGUCCCUGGGGUGUCCCCACAGUGUCCCCGGGGUGUCCCCACGGUGUCCCCAGAGUGUCCCCUCACUGUCCCCACAGUGUCCCCAGAGUGUCCCCAGGGUGUCCCCAUGGUGUCCCCAGGGUGUCCCCAUGGUGUCCCCAGGGUGUCCCCAGAGUGUCCCCAGAGUGUCCCCAUGGUGUCCCCAC
rnacentral:lncRNA from 1 species